rnacentral:rRNA from 1 species
AAACGUAGGGGGCGAGCGUUAUCCGGAAUUACUGGGCGUAAAGGGCGUCUAGGCGGCCGCACAAGUCUCGCGUGAAAGCUCCCGGCUCAACUGGGAGAGGGCGCGGGAAACUGUGUGGCUCGAGACUCGGAGAGGGGUGUGGAAUUCCCGGUGGAGUGGUGAAAUGCGUAGAUAUCCGGAGGAACAUCAGUGGCGAAGGCGACUUCCUGGACUAACAUUGACGCUGAGGUGCGAAAGCGUGGGGAGCAAACAGGAUUAGAAACCCCAGUAGUCC